CCCAGUCUCAGGUCCUCCGCUCCCGGCCCCAGCCGCCCGUUCCCUAACCCUGAGCGAGACUCAAGCGCUGCCGGGAGGCGAGGCCGUCUCAGCGAGCAGACGGCCACCCCACCUCUUCCGGGGACUCGCAGGCCCGCUCCCUGGCCGUGUCAGAGCCUGGCGGCGCCUGCCGGACCCUGCCCGAGGGGAGGCAGCGGCCCUGGGGCCUCCCGGACGGGACCCUGCACCCCCGGUCCUUCCACCGCCCCCACCCUGCUCUCCAGAAACCCCCGUCCUCAAGAGCACCCCAGUGGAGUUACCGGCCCACUCAAAAGAUUAUGGGACUUGAAAACAAACUUGGAAAACAUCCCAUAACAUAGUGUCCUUAAAUACCACUUCUACUUCUGCCUCAGAUCUGCAGAAUGCUACCAUAUGACCCAGCAAUUCCACCCAAGAGAAGUGAAAACAGGUCCACACAAAAACUUGUACAUGAAUGUUCAUAGCAUCAUUAGUCAUAAUAGCCUCUGCUGGGAGCCAAGAUCAACAGUAAUUAAUAUAAAUUCGAGAAGUCCGGUCAGAAGGCUGAAUGGGGCUUUUGAUAUUCAGAAGGCUGAACGUCUGCAUUGUUGUUACCUGCUGCUGACUCAAUAGCCGAAGGGAACCCCCCAAAACCUGGUGAUCUCUUUACUGUUUAGUAAACAUCACCUUUGAUAUGUCUAUUUGCAUUCCUAAAAGGCAAUUGUGUAUUCUAGUAAAUAAAAGGCAGAUGGGAACGGAGACUCAGUGGAACUUGGUCCCUUGUACCAAGCUCACAACUGGCUUCCCCCAUAAUUUCUAAA